GCCAGGCGUGGUGGCCCACACCUGUAAUCCCAGUACUUUGGGAGGCUGAGAUGGGUGGAUCACCUGAGGUCAGGAGUUCAAGACUAGCCUGGCCAACAUGGUGAAACCUAUCUCUA
ensembl:misc_RNA Metazoa_SRP Metazoan signal recognition particle RNA